rnacentral:lncRNA from 1 species
CCCACUCCAAGCAAAAAUAUAAAUAAUAAUAAAUUUUAUUAGUAUCAAAUUUAUUCAUGCUUCAUUUUUUAUUAAUUAUUAAAUAAAAAUAAUUUUAUAUUAUAUUCAAAUAAGGAGGCUUGGCUAUUUAUUCAAAAAGGAAACAAUAAUAAAAAGAAAUAUAAAAAUCCCUUUUUCCCACUUACACAUUCUCUCUCUCUAACCGUAUCAUCUAUGGCAACAAAAAAGAUAAAGAGCAACGCUAAUCAACGGGAAAUAGCGACUGGACGGAGAGACGACGAUUGCUCGUCGACAGUGAAGCAGUGGCGUCAAAAUUUGCGUGAAGGGGAGUGAUUUUUGGGUCGCCAAUUGUUGAUUUGCGACGGGGAGAUGUGGCUGUGCUGGGAUCGCCGGCCGGUAGCGCGAAUCCGAUGAAAAAUUGGCCGGAUCUGAGAGAGAAAAUGAUGGCUGGCGACUUGGAGGGAGAGGGAAGUGGGUUGCGCCUCUUUCUCAGCCAUGGUGGCUGGUCGGCGAUGGGGAAAGAGGAAGAAGGAGGAGAGGCGUCGGCGUGGGGAAAGGGAAAGAGGGUGUGCCGGCGGCAGCCAAUGUUGACUAGUGGUUGUUCCCGUCGGCCGGAGAAGCAACAGAGCUGGUCGGACUUCGGCGGAUGACAACUGUUGACCGUUGGUCGUGCCGCCUGAUGGAUCUGGUGACGGAUUUUGGGGUUUUCCAGCGACGGGUGUCCAGUUCACAGUGAUGUUCGUCGGAGGAGACCGACGAUUCCGGUGAAUUAUUCACCGGAAAACUUAUCUUAAACUGUUAUUUUCUCCUUUGUUUUACUGUUUAUCUAAAUUAUAUGUGUGUUUCAUCGGUUUCUGGGCUCGUUUUUCGGUCAGUGUGUUAUCGUGUAGAUGUAUCAGUACAAACAUAUUCAUGAUCCUUCUCCGUUCUUUUAAAUAUCCACUUUAUAAAAUUUUAAUUCUAAUACACUUUUUGAUUCAUUAUUUUGAGCAGCGAACAUAUUUGGAUAAAAGUAUACAAUAUAAUUAUGAUAAUGAAUUCACAUAAAUAAUCAAUUUUUGCAUAUUGAAUAAAUUUAUUAAAUAACAGUACAAAAUGGGAUAAAACAUAUUGAUAAAUUAAAAUAAAAAUUCAAACACUGUCACCGAAAAUUCGAAAUAAACUUCAACUUCAAUGUUUUUUCUUUUUCUCUUUUUGUUUCUGAUGUUUCCUUUUUCUUGAUCUGAUUUACUCUGUGUUUUUCUUCACUCUAAUGCAGUAUAAAAAGUGUCUGAUGAUAGACUGUACGUAGAAUUCUCUGCUCUUUAGGGGGUGAAGUUCUUUGGGGGGUGAAGAGUCUAUUAAUAGGGGAUUCUUUGGGGGAACGGUUAAAGUUAUCAGAUAAGGGGAGGAAGAUUUAAAAUUUAAAUAUUUAUUUUAUUUUUCUUUUUUUAAAUAAAAGAUAAUAAUAAUAAAUAAAUAAAUAAAAAUACUAAUAACUAAUUAAUUUUUAUAUUCAAAAAAUAUAAUAAAAUAGAAUUAAAACUACUACUUUAUUUAUUAAAAUUUAGAAUAA